rnacentral:lncRNA from 1 species
AUCUGCCCUUAAAUUUUCAGAUGAAUCGGACAACCCGUUGUUGGGUUGCUGCCCCUGAAUUGGUAAUUUUAAGGAAAUUUUACAGUUUUUGGUUAUUAUCUUGAAUAUUAUUAUAGAUAAAGAUAAACUGAAAACAGCAAUAAUGUUCAGCAAAGUAAGAUUUACAAAUAAGUCAACAUGACCAAAAUGGUCAGUUGACCCCUUUAU